rnacentral:rRNA from 1 species
ACGCUGGCGGCAUGCCUUACACAUGCAAGUCGAACGGCAGCACGGAGCUUGCUCUGGUGGCGAGUGGCGAACGGGUGAGUAAUAUAUCGGAACGUACCCUGGAGUGGGGGAUAACGUAGCGAAAGUUACGCUAAUACCGCAUACGAUCUAAGGAUGAAAGUGGGGGAUCGCAAGACCUCAUGCUCGUGGAGCGGCCGAUAUCUGAUUAGCUAGUUGGUAGGGUAAAAGCCUACCAAGGCAUCGAUCAGUAGCUGGUCUGAGAGGACGACCAGCCACACUGGAACUGAGACACGGUCCAGACUCCUACGGGAGGCAGCAGUGGGGAAUUUUGGACAAUGGGCGCAAGCCUGAUCCAGCAAUGCCGCGUGAGUGAAGAAGGCCUUCGGGUUGUAAAGCUCUUUUGUCAGGGAAGAAACGGUGAGGGCUAAUAUCCUUUGCUAAUGACGGUACCUGAAGAAUAAGCACCGGCUAACUACGUGCCAGCAGCCGCGGUAAUACGUAGGGUGCAAGCGUUAAUCGGAAUUACUGGGCGUAAAGCGUGCGUAGGUGGUUUGUUAAGUUGGAUGUGAAAUCCCCGGGCUCAACCUGGGAACUGCAUUCAAAACUGACUGACUAGAGUAUGGUAGAGGGUGGUGGAAUUUCCUGUGUAGCGGUGAAAUGCGUAGAUAUAGGAAGGAACACCAGUGGCGAAGGCGACCACCUGGACUAAUACUGACACUGAGGUGCGAAAGCGUGGGGAGCAAAC